rnacentral:lncRNA from 1 species
CUGUUUAUGUCCUCAUAACAUAGGAGAUUAAGAUACAGAAAACAGAGGGACUAGAGUGUGUGCAAGUUGAGGAGAAGCCUCAGGAUAAACCACCCUACCCACACCUUGAUCCAGGACCUCCAGCUUCCAGUGCUGCAAAAGAAGAAAUGUGUGUUGCUCAAGUAGCCACCUGUGUCCUGUAUCACGGCAGCCUGAGCCCCUGAGAGACCAAACCCACACUUCCUGUCUGAUGUGGUCAGUGUGGGAAGACCUUCCUUGCCAGCCUGAGAUGGGCUUGCCCUCCAUGUCCCCCAGAGUGACUGGGGCAGGUGUGGGCAGUGCCCAGCCAGAAGAAAGCCUCACGGAGGAAAGGCUGAGUGCCCAGGUCUAGGACAGGCCUCCCUGCUUACCCCUGGUGAGGACUGGAGCUGCUUGAAGCCAUCAGUGUGGCCCCUCCCCCACCCAGGCCCCGCCCACUAUCGGAGGGCCUCCCUGCCUCCAGUGACCUAGUGAGGACCAGAUCUCACCAGCAAAC